rnacentral:rRNA from 1 species
AUGGACAAAGUUGUCCGCGAAUGUCCGUUUUGGUCCGGCGCGACCCCAAAUCUGAAGCAAAGUUGGGCAACAAAUGAGUCUGUGCGGACACAAACAGACGUUGUCCUCGUCCUCUCUCGUCCGCUCAUGUUCUCAUCUGGCCCACGUAUCAGCGACCCACACCGAGCCACUCGUGACCUCGUUAAUCUUGCUCCCCGCGCCGGCAGCCGGCCGCCCACCGCCGCCGCCUGCCUCAUACGCAUGUCCAUCCUUCGGACGUCCGUCCAAUCGUUUCUCAAACUGUUCAAAACGGACAUCCGGAUGGAGUCUAGCGGUGGAGUUAGCCUUAGUUUUCCAGGCAGCAAGCCUGGUAAGCUAUCUCAAAUAGUUUUCCGUCUCUGGUCCUAUGCACUGGGCCAGCACAUUAACUUUGACCAAAUAACUUUGAUCAAACCCAUACUGCAAAAGCCACAGACCAUACAGCACGCCAAAACCGACCUUUUCCAAUUCAGCUCUAGGAUUCAGCAUGAUACCGUGGAAUUCACUGCACCACACACAUACCCAUACGACCAUAUCCACGAAAAGUUAUAUCUGCGCACGCGCAUCACCGAGCGCGCGCCUUCCCUUUCCUCUCCUCCUCCUCGUAGCUUCUCUUCCCGGUUCCUCCUCUCUCUCCCCGUCCCGUGCUUGGCCAUGCCGGGCGCUAGCUCGCCGAGAGGCCGCGCCGGCGCCGGCAGGAGGUGGUGUGCGCGCGGGGACCUCCUGACCGUGGCCGUCGCCGCGAUGCUCUGCUCGGCGACCUACUGCUUCUCCAUAUGGCACAACGGGCGCAACGCGGCGGAUAAGAUCGUCAUCGGGCCCGCCUCCUUCGUCGUCGCGGGCGCCGCGCUGUGCGGGGGCGACGCCACGGAGCUCGACUUUGCGGCGCACCACACCGCCGAGCGGGCCGGGCUCUCCGUGUCGUCCUCGUCGCCGACGGUCACGGGGCGACGGGCAUUGCGCGCGGUCGCGGUGCCCAUGGACGGUACCGGGCGCCGUGGCUUGGUGUUGGCGGGGAACUCGGUUGGCAGCUCGGAGGCCGCCGACGCCAAGAAGAGGGCACGGGUCAACGGCGAUAAGUUCCGGUCAACACACGCCGGUACCGUCCGCGCGUAG